GCAAGCUGCAGGGUCUGGAGGGGAGCGAAUUUGUGCUGCUGCCCUCUGGGAUGCUCUUGAUCUCUCCUACCCUGGACUCCAGCUGCCCUUCUGAAGAGGACCUGGAGGUAUUUGACACUUCCCUGAGGAAAAAGAUGGUCUUGUAAGUAAGCAGGGCAGGAAGCUACAGGCUGUAGAAGCUGUGACACACUAGAUGACAGAACCCUCCGCCCUGUCCUCAGGACAGCAUUUCAUCCUUUGCUCUAGGAGCUGACUGGCUAAGGUGAAACAUAAAUGAAAAUUGACAUGGUAAAGAUGAUGGUCCAGGCCCAGUGGCUCACGCCUGUAAUCCCAACACUUUGGGAG